AUGAACGCUAGCUACAGGCUUAACACAUGCAAGUCGAGGGGCAGCAUUUUAGUUUGCUUGCAAACUGAAGAUGGCGACCGGCGCACGGGUGAGUAACACGUAUCCAACCUGCCGAUAACUCCGGAAUAGCCUUUCGAAAGAAAGAUUAAUACCGGAUGGCAUACGAAUAUCGCAUGAUAUUUUUAUUAAAGAAUUUCGGUUAUCGAUGGGGAUGCGUUCCAUUAGUUUGUUGGCGGGGUAACGGCCCACCAAGACUACGAUGGAUAGGGGUUCUGAGAGGAAGGUCCCCCACAUUGGAACUGAGACACGGUCCAAACUCCUACGGGAGGCAGCAGUGAGGAAUAUUGGUCAAUGGGCGCGAGCCUGAACCAGCCAAGUAGCGUGAAGGAUGAAGGCUCUAUGGGUCGUAAACUUCUUUUAUAUGGGAAUAAAGUUUUCCACGUGUGGAAUUUUGUAUGUACCAUAUGAAUAAGGAUCGGCUAACUCCGUGCCAGCAGCCGCGGUAAUACGGAGGAUCCGAGCGUUAUCCGGAUUUAUUGGGUUUAAAGGGAGCGUAGGUGGAUUGUUAAGUCAGUUGUGAAAGUUUGCGGCUCAACCGUAAAAUUGCAGUUGAAACUGGGAGUCUUGAGUACAGUAGAGGUGGGCGGAAUUCGUGGUGUAGCGGUGAAAUGCUUAGAUAUCACGAAGAACUCCGAUUGCGAAGGCAGCUCACUAGACUGUCACUGACACUGAUGCUCGAAAGUGUGGGUAUCAAACAGGAUUAGAUACCCUGGUAGUCCACACAGUAAACGAUGAAUACUCGCUGUUUGCGAUAUACAGUAAGCGGCCAAGCGAAAGCAUUAAGUAUUCCACCUGGGGAGUACGCCGGCAACGGUGAAACUCAAAGGAAUUGACGGGGGCCCGCACAAGCGGAGGAACAUGUGGUUUAAUUCGAUGAUACGCGAGGAACCUUACCCGGGCUUAAAUUGCAACAGAAUAUAUUGGAAACAGUAUAGCCGUAAGGCUGUUGUGAAGGUGCUGCAUGGUUGUCGUCAGCUCGUGCCGUGAGGUGUCGGCUUAAGUGCCAUAACGAGCGCAACCCUUAUCUUUAGUUACUAACAGGUUAUGCUGAGGACUCUAGAGAGACUGCCGUCGUAAGAUGUGAGGAAGGUGGGGAUGACGUCAAAUCAGCACGGCCCUUACGUCCGGGGCUACACACGUGUUACAAUGGGGGGUACAGAAGGCGGCUACCUGGUGACAGGAUGCUAAUCCCAAAAACCUCUCUCAGUUCGGAUCGAAGUCUGCAACCCGACUUCGUGAAGCUGGAUUCGCUAGUAAUCGCGCAUCAGCCAUGGCGCGGUGAAUACGUUCCCGGGCCUUGUACACACCGCCCGUCAAGCCAUGAAAGCCGGGGGUACCUGAAGUACGUAACCGCAAGGAGCGUCCUAGGGUAAAACUGGUAAUUGGGGCU
rnacentral:rRNA from 1 species